ACGAGCGAGGGUCCUCGUGGCCCAACCUCCCAACCCUUUGUUUACUGAACCUCAUGUUGCUUCGGCGGGCCCGUCUCACGACCGCCGGGGGAGUUCGACCUCCCCUGGCCCGCGCCCGCCGGUGGCCAACCAUUUAAAAACUCUUGAUUAAACCGUGUCCUAUUGCCUAAGUCAUGAUUAUUCAAUCAAAAACA
rnacentral:misc_RNA from 1 species